rnacentral:rRNA from 1 species
CCUACGGGUGGCAGCAGUGGGGAAUAUUGGACAAUGGGGGCAACCCUGAUCCAGCCAUGCCGCGUGAGUGAUGAAGGCCUUCGGGUUGUAAAGCUCUUUUGGCGGGGACGAUGAUGACGGUACCCGCAGAAUAAGCCCCGGCUAACUUCGUGCCAGCAGCCGCGGUAAGACGAAGGGGGCUAGCGUUGUUCGGAAUUACUGGGCGUAAAGCGCGUGUAGGCGGUUGUCCAAGUCGGGUGUGAAAGCCUUGAGCUCAACUCAAGAAAUGCACUCGAUACUGGGCGACUUGAGGACCGGAGAGGAUAGUGGAAUUCCCAGUGUAGUGGUGAAAUACGUAGAGAUUGGGAAGAACACCAGUGGCGAAGGCGGCUAUCUGGACGGUUACUGACGCUAAGACGCGAAAGCGUGGGGAGCAAACAGGAUUAGAUACCCUUGUAGUC